AACGAACGCUGGCGGCAUGCCUAACACAUGCAAGUCGAACGAAGUCUUCGGACUUAGUGGCGCACGGGUGAGUAACGCGUGGGAAACUGCCCAUUGGUGGGGAAUAACUGAGGGAAACUUCAGCUAAUACCGCAUAAGCCCUUCGGGGGAAAGAUUUAUCGCCGAUGGAUGUGCCCGCGUCUGAUUAGCUAGUUGGUGAGGUAAUGGCUCACCAAGGCGACGAUCAGUAGCUGGUCUGAGAGGAUGAUCAGCCACACUGGGACUGAGACACGGCCCA
rnacentral:rRNA from 1 species